rnacentral:miRNA from 1 species
GUGUCCAGUGCCGUAUAUUGCAG